rnacentral:rRNA from 1 species
UAGGGAAUAUUGGUUAAUGUGCGAAAGCGCGAACCAGCAACGCCGCGUGUGCGAUGAAGGCCUUCGGGUCGUAAAGCACUUUUUGCAGGGACGAGGAAGGACGGUACCUGCAGAGUAAGUCUCGGCUAACUACGUGCCAGCAGCCGCGGUAAAACGUAGGAGACGAGCGUUAUCCGGAUUUACUGGGCGUAAAGCGCGUGCAGGCGGCAUGGCAAGUUGGAUGUGAAAGCUCCCGGCUUAACUGGGAGAGGUCGUUCAAUACUGCCAGGCUUGAGAGUGGUAGAGGGAAGCGGCAUUCCGGGUGUAGUGGUGAAAUGCGUAGAUAUCCGGAGGAACACCAGUGGCGAAAGCGGCUUCCUGGCCCAUUUCUGACGCUCAGACGCGAAAGCUAGGGUAGCAAACGG